CACGUAGGGCGCAAGCGUUGUCCGGAAUUAUUGGGCGUAAAGAGCUCGUAGGUGGUCUGUUGCGUCCGCUGUGAAAUCUCAGGGCUUAACCCUGAGCCUGCAGUGGAUACGGGCAGACUAGAGGUAGGUAGGGGAGAAUGGAAUUCCUGGUGUAGCGGUGAAAUGCGUAGAGAUCGGAAGGAACACCAGUGGCGAAGGCGGCUACCUGGCCUGAUACUGACACUGAGGCACGAAAGCGUGGGGAGCAAACAGG
rnacentral:rRNA from 1 species